rnacentral:rRNA from 1 species
GACGAACGCUGGCGGCGUGCCUAAUACAUGCAAGUUGAGCGCUGAAGGUUGGUACUUGUACCAACUGGAUGAGCAGCGAACGGGUGAGUAACGCGUGGGGAAUCUGCCUUUGAGCGGGGGACAACAUUUGGAAACGAAUGCUAAUACCGCAUAAAAACUUUAAACACAAGUUUUAAGUUUGAAAGAUGCAAUUGCAUCACUCAAAGAUGAUCCCGUGUUGUAUUAGCUAGUUGGUGAGGUAAAGGCUCACCAAGGCGAUGAUACAUAGCCGACCUGAGAGGGGGAUCGGCCACAUUGGGACUGAGACACGGCCCAAACUCCUACGGGAGGCAGCAGUAGGGAAUCUUCGGCAAUGGACGAAAGUCUGACCGAGCAACGCCGCGUGAGUGAAGAAGGUUUUCGGAUCGUAAAACUCUGUUGGUAGAGAAGAACGUUGGUGAGAGUGGAAAGCUCAUCAAGUGACGGUAACUACCCAGAAAGGGACGGCUAACUACGUG